rnacentral:misc_RNA from 1 species
AACGCACAUUGCGCCCAUUAGUAUUCUAGUGGGCAUGCCUGUUCGAGCGUCAUUAAGUCCAUUAAGCCUAGUUGCUUAGCGUUGGGAGUAUUACCGCACGGUAACUCCUUAAAGUCAGUGGCAGGGUUACGGUACACUCUAAGCGUAGUAGAUUUCUUUCUCGCUUCUGUUGUGGCCGCGGCCGUUGCCAUAAACCUAUAAUUUUUUAUUGGUUGACCUCGGAUCAGGUAGGAAUACCCGCUGAACUUAA